rnacentral:lncRNA from 1 species
UCAAAUAAUGAUCCCACCAUCCUUUAAGCAAACCAGUAAAUCCUAUGACUAAGGCACCGGCAGCAUGAAAGUCAGAAUUACUAGUCUUGAUUCUAUAUGCAUUAGCAGCCAUCAUCAUUUCAUGAAGCAGAUUGAUUAUUUGAUGUUCACUCAUUCCAUCUAUAUUCCAUUCAUAAAAACUACUACCAUCAUAACUAGCAGCUAAUUGAUAAUUUCUUUCUUCUAAUUGGACAUCAGGAAAAGAAGGUUUUGAAUAAUAAUUUUUUCUACUUACAAAAUUAUUAGAAAUUGCAUUGACUGUUGCAGGAGGUUUUACUAUUGAAUCAGGAGACAUUUUGAAUUGUUCUUCUAU